GAUGACUAAUGAGAACAUCCUGUUUCACAGGAAUGACCAAUUCGUUUUUCUAUUGACUGGUUAUAAAAAAAUAUACUAAACGUCAGACAAUAAAAACCGGUUACGUUUAUUAAUACAUCACAGAACUAUAUCUGAAGUCAAUGUAGUUUCCUGCAUAGAUGAAAAUAGCAACGGACAGGGAAUUUUUACAGGCUGGAUCAUUUUGGAAACUCCCACAGAAGCAUUAUGUGGGUCUGAUCUUCAUGCAAAGUGUGCCAGUAGCCUACAGAAUCAAAGCGACACACAUAAACUGAGGAACAGUUGCAUCUAACCCUAUAAAUUAGCUUCACGGACAUCUUUCCUGUAAUUACCGGCCAUACGCAUUGAAUUAUGUCUGGCAUCCUCAAGCUCUACUUUAUCGGGACAGUGUUAUCGCUUCUGGUGGCUCUGUUUGGAUUGGUUGACUCUGUCGGAGGUCUGAUGUACCCUCAAGGAUCUGCUUUGGCAAACGAUAGCCACGCAGGGAAACAUGCUCCAGUUUCUCCAUCUUGGACCGCUAACGAUGCCAUCACGCAGCGCACGGGCUCAGGAUGAUCCGAUGUGUGGACGUUCAUUUCAUUGCACUAAGUACAUUUUCGUGGAAUGACUUCCUGACCCGUCGUUUGUCUUUGUGCACUUGUAUGCAUCAAAUUGUGGGAUGCUUAUGAAGAACAGCAAUGGGAUAUACUGGUACAAAUAUAUCAGAUUUAUACAUUUUGGCUGACUUGACAGAAAAUACACUGGCAGCUGUACAAAGGAAAUGAAAGAUAUUUACUUGCUUUAAGGAUAAACACACAACAAACAUGCUGCAUGAACAAUACUGUAAAAUGAUGACAUUUUUGUAACAGUGUUUUAAUCUUGCAAAUUGCAAUUUUUGUUGUAAAAAUGACGAAAAUGUAGUUGUUAAAAUUAGGUGUCCUUAACUUACUCCAAAUUCCCUGUUGAAAAAAACUGCAUAUGCAAGGUUAGGUAUGUUCCCAUGCUGGUUUAACUAGCUAUGGACCAGCACAUCACCAGCUUAAACCAGCAUCAAAUCAUACCAAAUACCAUACAUAUUUUCAACAUGUUAAGGUAAGCUUUCAAGAACGAUAUAUGAUUUUAGGUUUUGUUUUGUAUUUACUAAAGUAAAUAAGUAACUAAG